CCCAAUUUGAAAGAAAGAAAACCCUCGUAAUCUUCACAUUUCCCUCUUUCAAGUUUCCAAUUUCCCUCCUUCAACCUUCACAUUUCCCCCCCUUUCAAUCUUCACAUUUCCUUAUUGAAAUCCACAUUUCCCCCACUGAGGUCAAGAGACGACCGUAGAAGCAAGGAGUGCCUUCUAACGAGAUUCAACCUAGUAGCACUGAUUUUUGUGGAUGCUUUCCGAUACGUUAGGCGAUGAAGUCGGCCGCGAUGAAGAAGACGACAGCAACGAUAAGCAGACCCAGAGUAACCAUCAAGUUUGCAAUGUGUCCAGUUCGUUGUGGAUAAAUCUUUUUGCUACAUUAAUCUUGCAAUUUUCAAACUGAUUAUGCAUCAGAAAUAUUAUGGGGAAGUCUUUCCAGUGCAUAAGCAAGCAGCAUGCUCUGGAAUGUUACGUCUUUUUACAGGAUUUUUACAUUAGAGGUUAAUUAAUUUUUUUCAUGGACUUUUACCGGUCAUUUGGCCAGGGCAAAAUGGUGGACACAAGAGGGAAGGGACAAUUGAGCCAAGGCAGCGUGAAGAACAUCAAAUGCAAUUCAUGCCUACAUCUACGGUUGCAAGAGGAUAGCCCGCAAGGAUAUUAGAAUCUGGACCAGCAGUUACAACUACUCUUGUUGAUGAGUUGCACCACCUUGGUAGCCACUUCCCUGUGGUCUUCAUGCCGUGGAAAACAGCCUACGUAAUUUUGUCGUGGAGUGACAUCUCAUUUGUGGCAACCUUUUUGUCAAUGGAGUCUAUUUUUUUAAAUGUAUUUUAGAUGUCCUCUAAUGGAUUUUGUAGUGAUACAGUUAGAUUUUUUGUUGGCUGUAAUGGUGAAUUGGCUUUGUGAAUUGGGUGUAGGACUUAUGAUCAUGCGAUAUGAAUGAAGUAGGCUGGUUUUGGAUUGGGUCAUUUUCUGUUUCUCUUCAUGCAGUUGGACCAUCAAGAAACAAAAUUGGCAUUUUUUGUAACCUGUACACUUUAUUGGUGCUGAUUUUUGAGUUUUGGGAGACACAUACAAUUAGUAUUAUUUUGUAAUUGAA